GACGAACGCUGGCGGCGUGCCUAAUACAUGCAAGUAGAACGCUGAAGGAGGAGCUUGCUUCUCUGGGUGAGUUGCGAACGGGUGAGUAACGCGUAGGUAACCUGCCUGGUAGCGGGGGAUAACUAUUGGAAACGAUAGCUAAUACCGCAUAAUAUUGACUAUUGCAUGAUAGUCAGUUGAAAGGUGCAACUGCACCACUACCAGAUGGACCUGCGUUGUAUUAGCUAGUUGGUGGGGUAACGGCUCACCAAGGCGACGAUACAUAGCCGACCUGAGAGGGUGAUCGGCCACACUGGGACUGAGACACGGCCCAGACUCCUACGGGAGGCAGCAGUAGGGAAUCUUCGGCAAUAGACGGAAGUCUGACCGAGCAACGCCGCGUGAGUGAAGAAGGGUUUCGGAUCGUAAAGCUCGGUUGUAAGAGAAGAACGAGUGUGAGAGUGGAAAGCUCACACUGUGACGGUAUCUUACCAGAAAGGGACGGCUAACUACGUG
rnacentral:rRNA from 1 species